ACAAGACAAGAGCAACAGAAAAAUGGUUCAACAGCUUUGUAUCCUGUUACCAGCAUUGACAGCUGCCCACGUGGCUGUAAACAGGUACCGAGGUGGCAGAAAUACAGAUUAAGAAGGAAUCAAUUCUGAUUUCCAAAUUGAAUAACAAUGGUGAUAAAAGAAAACGAAAUAUCUACAAAAAAAA